AUCGCCCCCGCAAUCGAAAGAUUGACGGAUGCACCAAUUUAAUUGGAAACGCGAGGAUAUGUUUAUCCGAGAUUCUCUCUUCCUCUUUCUCUCUCUUUCUCUCUCUCUCUCUCUCUCUCUCUCUCUCUCUCUCUCUCUCUCUCGCUCUCUGUCUCUCUCUCGCUCUCGCUCUCGCUCGCGCGCGCGCGUCCGCGAAACCGUCGGUCUCGUGACGCAAUUUUCACGAUGACGGGACGAUUCGUUUCUUCGUUGCCUCUUCGUGUCCUCAUUAAAAAAAAAAAAAAAAAAGAGGGGAAGCGAUGUUCAUCGUAAUAAUUUCGCGAUAGCAAUCGCCAUAUCGUUAUGCAUUCCCGCGACCUUCGGUUCCGAUGCGGAAGGUGCUUUGGAAAAAUUUGCAAGAGCCACGACCGACGUCGUAGAUAACGCGCGGCGCGGCGUAGUUGCGUCGCGCAUUGUACAUCGUCCAUCUAUGUAGCUGGUAGUGAAAGCGAAGGACUGACACCGAAAGAAAGCUCUCUUUCUCAUCGAUGACAACAUUUUUUCGAGAAUAAAAUGGAAACCGAUCUCUCUCGAAUCUUCCUUUCCCCUCCCCAUUUCCUCUUCCUCUUUCCGCCUUCCAAGCGUCGUUUCACUUCGAACACCCUGUAUAGGAAACUUUUUUCCCAGAUCCAUACGUGUUGUUUUUAACCGCGUUACGUCGCGCUUUUUGCACAUGUGGAACGGCGCAGGUGACUUCGACGAAACUCCGAUUAACGUGAUCGACAGCGAUUCACUUACCGGACGACAGCCGUGCCGUUAACUUCGUUAACGUCGACGGAACUAUUGAUUUUUCGUUAUUUCGUUGUACGGAGAUAGAAAAAAAAAGGAUUUGGGAGAGGACGAAUUGAAAGUUCAGUAAUAAUAAAGCCGUGAAAUCCGAUUAAACGUUUUAAUAAUAUCGCCCAAUAUUUAAUUUGUAUUAAUAUUAAAUAAUCGAGUAUUAAACGAUUACUAAAUAUCAUGUUAACUAAAUAUUUAAUUAGUGAAACUAUUUUAUUAAAGCUUGGUAGUUAAAUUUUAUUUUUAUUACCAAACUCUUUUCUUUGUUUCUACCACGAAAGAAUUCGAAAAAAAUGGAAUUUGAAAGACAAAAAAUUCUAAGAAAAAGAUAUGAAGUUAGUUAAAUCGAGAUUAAAGUUAAUCUACAUUGAUAGAAGUGGGUAUAAAUUGGAAAGGGGAGGGACGGAAGAUGAAAGAAUUUCGAGAAGAGAACUUUCUGCGGACGAGAGGAAAAACGUAUGCGCCCUGGAAAAGGAGAAAAGAUGCUGCAAUUAAGAAUGUUUCCAAAACGUCAAGCACGUUGGAACUGCAUUGCAGAUAUAAAUAGGCCUCCCACGAGUGAGGCCUUGGAUCAACUUUCCAGGCGAGAUGAAAAAAAAA